CCCUUCGAUGUUCUGGGCCGCACGCGCGCUACACUGAUGAAUUCAACGAGCACUGACCUGUGCCGAAAGGUUCGGGUAAUCUUGUGAAAUUUCAUCGUGAUGGGGAUUGAUUAUUGCAAUUUUUAAUCAUAAACGAGGAAUGCCUAGUAAGCGUGAGUCAUCAGCUCACGUUGAUUACGUCCCUGCUCUUUGUACACACCGCCCGUCGCUCCUACCGAUUGAAUGUGCCAGUGAAAAGUUAGGAUUGGGCGUGGGAGACGGCAACGUAUUCCACAUCCGAGAAAAUCUUUAAACUUUCCCAUUUAGAGGAAGGAGAAGUCGUAACA
rnacentral:rRNA from 1 species